CACGGAGUUAGCCGGUGCUUCUUCUGCGGGUAACGUCAAUCGACAAGGUUAUUAACCUUAUCGCCUUCCUCCCCGCUGAAAGUACUUUACAACCCGAAGGCCUUCUUCAUACACGCGGCAUGGCUGCAUCAGGCUUGCGCCCAUUGUGCAAUAUUCCCCA
rnacentral:rRNA from 1 species